UAAGUGAUGGCGACCGGCGCACGGGUGAGUAACACGUAUCCAACCUGCCUCAUACUCGGGGAUAGCCUUUCGAAAGAAAGAUUAAUAUCCGAUAGCAUAUAUUUCCCGCAUGGGUUUUAUAUUAAAGAAAUUCGGUAUGAGAUGGGGAUGCGUUCCAUUAGUUUGUUGGGGGGGUAACGGCCCACCAAGACUACGAUGGAUAGGGGUUCUGAGAGGAAGGUCCCCCACAUUGGAACUGAGACACGGUCCAA
rnacentral:rRNA from 1 species